UUUAAGCGGGAAACUAAAAAUAUUUCCUCAUUACUCUUUUAGCCCGGAAAAAAAAAAUACAGAAAUAAAUCAAUCAAAAGAAAAGGCAUGCCAGAGAAAACGUCCACACGAAAUUUUCUUAGGUUUUGGUCCAAAUCAAGGCUCCCAAUUCUUCUUCUUCUCCUCACCACAUCGGAACCGACGUCGGCAAUCUCCAAAGUCCUAAGUCUCUCCAAAUCCAGCCUCUCAAUAAUUCAAUUCCGUUGCAGCCCUUACCGCUGAAUAGAAAGCAGAGGCUUUCGCAGUUUAAUUUGCCACAUUCCUGUAAGUUCAACUUUUUAAAUUUAGAACGUGAUCGUCCUCAUCCCAUCUCAUAUUUCCUCAUUUUCUAAUGAAAUGUAAACCCAAAAAGAAAAAAAAGUUUCUAACUUGGAUGAAUGCUAGAUGCAGUUUUCUCUCAAUUAUGAUUUUCUAGCACUAAAUUUGCUCUUUUGCCUUAGUUAUAGCUAGUGGAUGUUAUCUGUAAUGGACUAGAAUGAGCAAGUUAUAUUUUUCUGAAAGCCACAAGGUGCUCGAUAUAUGUCCUCUGAGACCAAAGAUGGAAUAAUCGUGACCAAACAAACAAAAAUAUGUACAUCAUAAGUAGAGACGCAUAUGAAUACUGUACAAAAAUCAUACCAAGAAAUAUAUUUAUUUCCAAAGGGCAUACAAACAAUUGGCCGUUCAAGAGCCUGUUCCAACACUAAGCAAUCCAAUACAAACCACAACCUUGCACCUAACGAGAAGUUUAAUGCAGGAGAUAAAUCGAAUAUCACAACCUGCUAAACAAAUGAAAAUCAAAAACCAACUUCAGAAAGACAAAAAAAAGUCAGAAGCAUUUAGGGACAAGUGAAUCCCUUUGGAGCCUUCUUACUGCAAACAUUGAGCAGUAAGUUAAGGGAAAUAGGGAGAUUUAGGUUAACGCCCAAAAUUUUAGCCUUAAGGGCAGUGCAAAGGCAGACAGCAGCCUCCAAAUCCACUAGAUUCUCAAUAAGACUGCAGCAUGGUUUUACAGGUGGAGUUCCCAGGGUAACAUUCAGCAAACCGUUAAGCACAUUAGCGCAAACACCUAGUUUUAAGGCAUCAGUUGGGCAUUUCCCGCCUUGAGAAGAAGGAGGAGGGGGGCAUGGCUUUGGCUUUGGUUUAGGUUUAGGUUUAGGGCUAGGGCCUGGGCAAGUGCUGCAUGCACUCACUACUGUGAAGAAAAGGAUAUUGAAUAUAACAAAGAGGGCUAGUGACUUGGCCAUCUUGAUCUCAAAGCUAGUGCAAGAUUUGCUAGCUAAAGGGAUAACAGAGAAAUGUUUUGAAUUAUGAUAAUGAAGAAUUAAAAGAUAAAUGGCUUGCUUUUAUAGGCUGCAUGUAUAAGGAGGGAGACAAAAAAAGAUGAGAAAACAUUCUUAAACUCAUGUGUGUAAGCCAGGAAUUUUAGCUGGCUAGAAGCAUAUUUUGGUAGAUCUUGGAGGUAUGUGAAGAAGGAAUUAAUUCUGGUUUCCAUGUUCCACGUUGAGUUUCAAUAUUAAAAUUCAAGUAAUUGUCUUAUCUCGUAGCUUUAUUGGUGAUAUAUUAUGUAUGCUGACAGUAUAAAAAAUAAUUAUGUUAUUGUAGUUUAUCGCACACUAGCUAGACCCUUUAUUCUUUUUAAUGAAAAAUCACUCUAGUGUUUCUUGGGUAAAAAUACCGUAGAGCAAAACAUAGAGAGUACAAGUAGUGGUUAUGGCCUUACCUCUUGUUUCGAGCUACAAAGUAGCAAAUGCCAUAUAAGAGUGUGCAGCUAAGACUACAUAUUGGCCAGAAGUAGGAUAACUCCCCUUUACAUGGAUGUAUGAAAUGAGCUUUCAAAAGGAGUAAAAAGGUGCAAUACUUCAUAUAGUAUUGGCAUUCUUUCCUUCUUAGUCAGUGCCAAAAGAAUGAUACCUUUUUUUAUUUAGUAAUAAUUGUACUUUAACUUUCUUACCCUUAAUGAGGUGAUUUUUAACCAAAAUUUUUUAUGGAUUGUUUUAGACCAAAAAUUUCAAUUUUUUUUAUUUAUUUCUUAAAUUUCGUGUCUAGUCAAAUACUUUUACAUAAAUUGGGACAGAGGGAGUAAAGUUAUAUGCAUAAUCAACAACGAAAUAGCCUUUUUGUGGUCUAUUUCUAAAGGUUGGUAAACCAAUUUGAGCUUGCUAAAGCCUACAUGUCAUGAUUUUCAUAUAGGAGAUUCAUAUUUGAACGUCAAAGUAUGAAAGAAAAUCCCCGUAAUACAAGAAUGCCAGAGCGUUACUCAAAAGAAAACCAAAGGCAAUUUGAGCAAACCUUGACAAGGAAGGGUGAAGCCCUAGCCAUCUAAGCUUAAACGAUACUUUUGAUUUGAUCUUGGCAUACUAUAGCUUAAUAAUCUAGUCACGGGCUACACAAGAAAGAGCAAGUGGGAUCACCAGAACUUUAAUAAGAUUAAAAUUAUUCUUCUCAUGAAUGUGGCCAAAGAUCCCCACGUCAAAUUAUUGUAGUUUGUAAUAAACUACUCUUGUUUAUUUAUUGAAAUAUUUCUAGUGGAAACCAUCUCUUGUACCAAGUAUAAUUUAGAAAAUGGGAGCUUGAUUCUGGUUGGAUUAUAUUUGGAGAUUAUCUUCUAAUUGACGAUUUAUUUUGCAUUUGGACUUGUAAGUCUUCUUAAUGGUAAUAAAUUGUAUGGUUUGUCUGGUUUCCGUCACAGGACUCAUAAAAGAAAGAGAAAGCAUAUGUAUUGUGAAAUAUGGCAAGUGUAUUACUCCCAUUUUGUGUGGCAUUUUUUUCUUACAAGGCCACAUAGAAGAAUUGCACAUUUCUAAAUUUAAAAAUAAUUAAUUUAAACUCUCCAUUUUACCUUUAAUAAUAAAUUUUUAUAUUACAAAAAUCUCAUGACAUACUUUAGAUCACAAGUUCUGAAAGUCUGUCUUUCUUUUAACUCUAUGCUCGUUCAAACUACACCAUAUAGUGAAACGGAGGGAAUAUUAGUUUUGGUGGUCAGUAUUGACUCACAAGAACUAGUUUUGCUUCGAUGACAACCAAAGCUUACAUUUGUUUAUACAAGAUUUGAUGCCAAGAAACAAAUCCUUUCUUAGUUCCAACACCAUCAACUUUUCUAUAAUUGUACAGAGAAACUGAUACCUUGAUCUUUGAUAUUAGGCUAUAUAGAUGAUAUUUACACCUUAAUAUUAUCAUGCUUUAUUGUUGUUUUAUAGGCAAAUUGCCAACAAAAUGCUCUAAAUGGUGUUCUUUUGUUUCGCAGGGAAUAUUCUAAGUGAGGAAGAACCACAGAGUGUUUUGGAGGCAAUAAUGUGAAGAAAACGCCCACUCAAGCAGUACCGAAAGAAGCAAAAAGAUGUACUGAGCAAAAAUUCCACCGCGACCGCGGUGUAACCGCAGCAGAUCAAGAGGCGAGGCAGAAUACUCAGCAUUCACCGCGGUCGUGCCGCGGUCCUGCCGCUACUGCGGUGCACUGUUCACUCGUCAGCAAAUUUGGGGACCAAAGUAUAAAUUCGGGAAAACUUGUUCCAAACCCUUAUAAGCUUUAGAGACUCGCCCAAGAAUUUUUGAAGCUUGUUUUUAGAAUACUUUGGAGGCAAGAACAAGUGUGAGAAGAUCAACCAAACAUUAGAGUUUUUUUAUCUCUUUUAUUUUCUUGCAAUUACCCAUUAUGACUAAUUUAGUAGUUUUAUCUUGUUUUGUCAUGAGUAGCUAAUUCCUUAGUCUAGGUGUUUAAUCUCUUUUAUCUUGUUUAAUCUCUAUUUGUUCAACUACGUGUUUGUUGUAGUUAAUUGACAGGAUCUUCAAUUAGCUGUG
rnacentral:lncRNA from 1 species